rnacentral:rRNA from 1 species
CUACGGGUUGCUCCAGUGGGGAAUAUUGGACAAUGGGGGAAACCCUGAUCCAGCAAUGCCGCGUGUGUGAAGAAGGCCUGCGGGUUGUGAAGCACUUUCGGUUGGGAGGACUGCUUCUAGCACUAAUAUUGUUGGAAGUUGACGUUACCUUCAGAAGAAGCACCGGCUAACUCCGUGCCAGCAGCCGCGGUAAUACGGAGGGUGCAAGCGUUAAUCGGAAUUACUGGGCGUAAAGCGCGCGUAGGCGGCUAGAUCAGUCGGGUGUGAAAGCCCCGGGCUUAACCUGGGAACUGCAUCCGAUACUGUCUAGCUUGAGUACAGGAGAGGAGAGUGGAAUUCCACAUGUAGCGGUGAAAUGCGUAGAUAUGUGGAGGAACACCAAUGGCGAAGGCAGCUCUCUGGCCUGAUACUGACGCUGAGGCGCGAAAGCGUGGGGAGCAAACAGGAUUAGAUACCCCCGUAGUC